CAGUAAGGACAUUCAUUUCAAUAUAUUUUUAUUAUGGUUUACUUACAGAAACUUACUACAGCUGCUGGGAAUAGAGAUAUAGAAGCUUUAAAAUUAUGUCUACAGAAUGGUGCAGACAUUGAUUAUCAAGAUUAAAUGUAAUUUCUAUGUUAUACUUACAGAAACUUACUACAGCUGCUAGAGGAUGGAGAUAUAGAAGCCUUAAAAUUAUGUCUACAGAAUGGUGCAGACAUUGAUUAUCGAGAUGUAAGUAAAAUAGUCACAUUCAAAACUACCUUAUUUUAAUAAUUCAUAGAAAAAUCAUUUGAAGAUACAGCCUUUUAUGGUACAUGAACAAAAAAAAGACACAAAACUACAUGUUACUUAAAAUUAAAGCACAGUGAAACAGUGAAAACUAUAAGUAACUUCAAAAUGUUGAAUAUUGUACAUAAACACACGACAACAAUUUACUUUAGAACUAUAAUAACAGAAGUAUAAAAAAUAAAAAAACAAGUUGCUUCAGAACAUAACAGAUUGUACAUAAGCAGUAUAAAACAAACACUAAAUUACUUCAGAACAUAACAUUGUACACCAGCAGUAAAAACACACAACUACAAGUUACUUCAGAACAGAACAAAUUGUACACAAGCAGUAUAAAACACACAACUACAAGUUACUUCAGAACAGAACAAAUUGUACACAAGCAGUAUAAAACACAACUACAAGUUACUUCAGAACAUAACAAAUUGUACAUAAGCAGUAUAAAACACACAACUACAAGUUACUUCAGAACAGAACAAAUUGUACAUAAGCAAACAUAAAAACACACAACUACAAAUUACUUCAGAACAUAACAGAUUGUACACCAGCAGUAUAAAACACACAACUACAAGUUACUUCAGAACAGAACAAAUUGUACAUAAGAAAUAUAAAACACACAACAACAAAUUACUUCAGAACAUAACAGAUUGAACAUAAGAAAUAUAAAGCACACAACAACAAAUUACUUCAGAACAUAACAAAUUGUACAUCAGCAGUAUAAAACACACAACUACAAGUUACUUCAGACCAUAACAGAUUGUACAUAAGCAGUAUAAAACACACAACUACAAGUUACUUCAGAACGUACAAAUUGUACAUAAGCAGUAAAAAAACACACAACUAAUUACUUUAGAACAUAACAGGUUGCACACCUGCAGUAUAAAACACAACUGCAAGUUACUUCAGAACAUAAAAGAUUUUACACUAGCAGUAUAAAACACACAACUACAAGUUACUUCAGAACAGAAAAAUUGUACAUAUUAAGAAAUAUAAAGCACACAACAACAAAUUACUUCAGAACAUAACAGAUUGUACACCAGCAGUAUAAAACACACAACUACAAGUUACUUCAGAACAGAACACAUUGAACAUAAGAAAUAUAAAACACACAACAACAAAUUACUUAAGAACAUAACAGAUUGUACACCAGCAGUAAAAAAACACACAACAACAAGUUACUUCAGAACAGAACACAUUGAACAUAAGAAAUAUAAAACACACAACAACAAAUUACUUCAGAACAUAACAAAUUGUACACCAGCAGUAAAAACAUACAACUGCAAGUUACUUCAGAACAUAACAAAUUGUACAUAAGAAAUAUAAAACACACAACUACAAGUUACUUCAGAACAGAACAAAUUGUACAUAAGAAAUAUAAAACACACAACAACAAAUUACUUCAGAACAUAACAGGUUGCACACCUGCAGUAUAAAACACAACUACAAGUUACUUCAGAACAUAACAGAUUGUACACCAGCAGUAUAAAACACACAACUUCAAGUUACUUCAGAACAGAACAAAUUGUACAUAUUAAGAAAUAUAAAGCACACAACAACUAAUUACUUCAGAACAUAACAGAUUGUACACCUGCAGUAUAAAGCACAAAACUACAAGUUACUUCAGAACAUAACAGAUUGUACACCAGCAGUAUAAAACACAUAACUAUAAGUUACAUCAGAACAUAACAGAUUGUACACCAGCAGUAUAAAACACAUAACUACAAGUUACAUCAGAACAUAACAAAUUGUACAUAAGCAGUAUGAAGCACAACAACAAAUUACUUCAGAACAUAACAAAUUGUACAUAAGCAGUAUAAAGCACAAAACUACAAAUUACUUCAGAAAAUAACAGAGUGUACACCAGCAGUAUAAAACACUCAACUACAAAUUACUUCAGAAAAUAACAGAGUUGUACACCAAGGCAGUAUAAAACACUCAAUAAACUACAAAUUACUUCAGAACAUAACAGAUUGUACACCAGCAGUAUAUAAAACACACAACUACAAAUUACUUCAGAAAAUAACAGAGUGUACACCAGCAGUAUAAAACACUCAACUACAAAUUACUUCAGAACAUAACAGAUUGUACACCAGCAGUAUAAAACACAUAACUACAAGUUACAUCAGAACAUAACAAAUUGUACAUAAGCAGUAUAAAACACACAACUACAAGUUACUUCAUACCAUAACAAAUUGUACAUCAGCAGUAUAAAACACACAAUUGCAAGUUACUUCAUACCAUAACAGAUUGUUCAUAAGCAGUAUAAAACACACAACCACAAGUUACUUCAGAACAUACAAAUUGUACAUAAGCAGUAAAAAAACACACAACAACAAGUUACUUCAGAACAGAACAAAUUGUACAUAAGAAAUAUAAAACACACAACAACAAAUUACUUUAGAACAUAACAGAUUGUACAUAAGCAGUUAAAAAACACACAACUACAAGUUACUUCAGAACAUAACAGAUUGUACAUAAGCAGUAUAAAACAUGCAACUACAAGUUACUUCAGAACAGAACAAAUUGUACAUAAGAAAUAUAAAACACACAACAACAAAUUACUUCAGAACAUAACAGAUUGUUCAUAAGCAGUAUGAAGCACAUAAUUACAAGCUACUUCAGAACAUAACAGAUUGUACAUCAGCAGUAUAAAAUCGGAACAUAACAGAUUGUACACAAUCAGCAGUAUAAAACACACAGCUACAAGCUACUUGAGAACAUAACAGAUUGUAUAUAUUAGCUGUAUAAAACAUGCAACUGCAAGUUACUUCAGAACAUAACAGAUUGUACAUUAGCAGAAUAAAACACAUAACUACAUGUUACUUCAGAACAUAACAGAUUUUACACCAGGAGUAUAAAACACACAACUACAAGUUACUUCAGAACAGAACAAAUUGUACAUAAUCAGUAUAAAAUAUACAACUGCAAGUUACUUCAGAACAUAACAGAUUAUACAUUAGCAGAAUAAAACACAUGACUUCAUGUUACUUCAGAACAUAACAGAUUGUACACAAGCAGUAUAAAACACACAACUACAAGUUACUUCAGAACAUAACAGAUUGUACAUAAGCAGUAUAAAAUAUACAACUACAAGUUACUUCAGAACAUAACAGAUUGUACAUUAGCAGUAUAAAACACAUAACUACAAGGUACUUCUGAACAUAAUAUAAUAAUAUAUCUGUAUGGAAACUGAUAUUAAUAUCAUUAUACUGAAUAUUUAAAUAGAAAUCUGAUUUAAAUUUAACAGUUUAUAAUGAGAGAGAAAAUAAUAAAGGUAUUUUUUUCUCUCAUUAAUUGUUUUUGUUUGUUUUGAAUUAUAGUUGAUAAAGUUCUUACUUUGAAUAUUUACAAGAACAUUUUUUACACCAAGGUUUUACAGCGUGUAAAACAAAUAUCACACAUGUAUGUUAUUGCUUCACUUUGACCACAUUCCUUAAUAUAUACAAAAUUAUGUUGUUAAUUAGACAGGUUUAAUGGACAACAAAUAUUUGUAAGAAUCAUAUAAAGUGGGGUCUCAUUUUGUUUGUCUCCUUGUGCUAAAUCAGGAAAUGUAACUAUUUUUCAUAUUUCUUUGAAAAAGUUACUUUUUAAAAAAUUGAUCAUUAUUCUGAAUCAUGUUAAUCAGACAGAUUUAAUCAUUAUAUUAACAAAUACUUGUUAGAAUUAUAUAAAGUGAGAUGUCAUUUUACUCAGAGAAUUGUAAUGAAUCCAUUGAUAUAAAUAUUUUGUUCAUUUCUUAAAAAAAAAAUUAACAUGACAGUUCUGAUGGAAGUUUUGACAUCUCACAAAAAAAACAGUUGUUAUAUUUGUUGUUUAUAUACAAUAUAAAUACAAGUGUGACUGGUCAUUUUAUUCAGUUUUGACCACUGAUUCAUGUGAUAUAUAUUUUUGUUUAUAUUUAUUACACAACAUUGUCCAGUUUAUCAGACAAGUUUUGAUGUCAGUUGUAUUAUUCCAGGUUUGGUGGACAGACAGCAUUAAUGUUGGCUGCCAGGUUUAGGACACCUGGAGAUCUGUAGUCUCCUCAUUGAUAGAGGAUGUAAGAUCGACAUCACAGAUCCAGUAUGUUAUCUACUUAGUCUGAUCACAUUACUAUUAAUCUACACUAAAUCAUGUUGUUAAUUAGACAGGUUUAAUGAACAAAUAUUUGUAAUAAUUAUAUAAAGUGGGGUCUCAUUUUACUCGUAUUAUUGUUCUGAAUCAGAAAAUAUUACUCCUUUUCAUGUUUCUUAAAAAAAAAUUUUUUUAUUAAAAUGAAUCAAUGAUACUGAAUCUACACUAAUUCCUGUUGUUAAUUAGACAGUUUUAACAUGAACAAAUAUUGUAAGAAUCAUAUAAAGUGGGGUCUCAUUUUGCUUGUUUUGUUCUACUGAAUCCAUUGAUAUAAUUAUUUUACACAUUUCUUGAAAAAAAAUUUUUUUUUUAAAGAUAUCAGGUUUUAAUGGAAGUUUUGACAUUUCACAACAAAACAUGUUUAUUUGUUGUUUUAUAUACAAUAUAAAUACAAGUGUGACUGGUCAUUUUAUUCAGUUUUGACCACUGAUUCAUGUGAUAUAUAUUUUGUUUAUAUUUAUUACACAACAUUGUCCAGUUUAUCAGACAAGUUUUGAUGUCAGUUGUAUUAUUCCAGGAGAUGGAUGGACAGCAUUAAUGUGAGGUGCUGAGGAGGACACCUGGAGAUCUGUAGACUCCUCAUUGAUAGAGGAUGUAAGAUCGACAUCACAACAGUAUGUUAUCUACUUAGUCUGAUCACAUUACUAUUAAUCUACACUCAUGUUGUUACAGCAAAUAUUUUAAUUCAUUUGUUUAAAAAUUAUUGACAAUGUUAAUUAAUUACAAACAAAUAUUAUGUGUAAGAAUCAUAUAAAGUGGGGUCUCAUUUUGUUUUGUUUUGUUCUACUGAAUCCAUUGAUAUAAUUAUUUUACACAUUUCUUGAAAAAAAUAUUUUUUUAAGAUAUCAGGUUUAAUGGAAGUUUUGACAUUUCACAACAAAACAUGUUUAUUUUUGUUUAUAUACAAUAUAAAUACAAGUGUGACUGGUCAUUUUAUUCAGUUUUGACCACUGAUUCAUGUGAUAUAUAUUUUGUUUAUAUUUAUUACACAACAUUGUCCAGUUUAUCAGACAAGUUUUGAUGUCAGUUGUAUUAUUCCAGGUUGAUGGAUGGACAGCAUUAAUGUUGGCUGCCAGGGAAGGACACCUGGAGAUCUGUAGACUCCUCAUUGAUAGAGGAUGUAAGAUCGACAUCACAAUG
rnacentral:lncRNA from 1 species